ACCCAUCCCUCCACACAUGCAAAUCCUUUCUUUCUCCAACACCACUUUCCUUCUUCUCACAACCCCCUUUCCAUGGCUGCCACCAACCCUUUAGCACUUUCCUGCACCUCCCAAACACACACUCCUCACCAUUUCCUUCUCCCUCGUAAGCCGUUUCUUCUCCUUUCCACCCGUCACUCCAACCACCAUGCACGCCCAAAGUCUCUUCGACUCACCACCACCACCACCACCACCUGUAAAGCCACACAAGUGUCCGUCACUGAAGAGUCAUCUCCAUCCGGAAACUGGGUUCCGGUAGUGCCAGUCUCAGCGCUGCCCAGAGGAGAGCGGCGCGUGAUUAU
rnacentral:lncRNA from 1 species